rnacentral:rRNA from 1 species
CAGUCGCCGCGGGAAUACAGAGGGUGCGAGCGUUAAUCGGAUUUACUGGGCGUAAAGCGUGCGUAGGCGGCUUCUUAAGUCGGAUGUGAAAUCCCUGAGCUUAACUUAGGAAUUGCAUUCGAUACUGGGAAGCUAGAGUAUGGGAGAGGAUGGUAGAAUUCCAGGUGUAGCGGUGAAAUGCGUAGAGAUCUGGAGGAAUACCAAUGGCGAAGGCAGCCAUCUGGCCUAAUACUGACGCUGAGGUACGAAAGCAUGGGGAGCAAACAGGAUUAGAGACCCGCGUAGUCCCUGUCUCUUAUAC